rnacentral:rRNA from 1 species
UAAGUCACUUUGUCUUUAUGGCAAAUGUGAGAUGCAGUGUAUGGAACGUCUAUAAUCUAGUAUGAGAAAUUGACGAUUUAAGUCCUUCUUAAAUGAGGCCAUUUACCCAUAGAGGGUGCCAGGCCCGUAUAACGUUAAUGAUUACUAGAAGAUGUUUCCAAAGAGUCGUGUUGCUUGAUAGUGCAGCACUAAGUGGGUGGUAAACUCCAUCUAAAACUAAAUAUAACCAUGAGACCGAUAGUAAACAAGUACCGUGAGGGAAAGUUGAAAAGAACUCUGAAUAGAGAGUUAAAUAGUACGUGAAACUGCUUAGAGGUUAAGCCCGAUGAACCUGAAUAUCCAUUAUAGAAAAUUCAUCAUUAGCCCUAUAAUAUUUAUAAUAUUAUGGUAAUAGUGUGCAUUUUUUCUAUAUAAGGACAUUGUAAUCUAUUAACAUAUUAUAUAUUUAUCAAAAGAUCAUUUGCUUAAGUUUAUUCAAAUUAUUUUGCUUGCAUUUUAACAUAGAAUAAAUGCUUAUGAUUUGAUAAAGUGUUGAUAGAUUUAUUUAUAUAUAGUGCUUAAAUUCAUUGAAUUUUACAAUGUCAUAAUUAUCAUAUGAUUUUUAUGUUUAUUUUGUAUGCGCUUAUAUGAUUAACAAUGCGAUAGAUUCAGGAUACCUUCGGGACCCGUCUUGAAACACGGACCAAGGAGUAUAACAUAUGUGCAAGUCAUUGGGAUUAUUUAUUUAAACCCAAAGGCGAAAUUAACUUAACUGAUAUUAAUGGGAUUAGUUUUUAGUCUAUUUAUAGUCUAUUAAUUCAAUCCCGGGGCGUUCUAUAUAGUUAUGUAUAAUAAUAUUUAUAUUAUUUAUACCUCUAACUGGAGCGUACCUUGAGCAAAUAUGCUGUGACCCGAAAGAUGGUGAACUAUACUUGAUCAGGUUGAAGUCAGGGGAAACCCUGAUGGAAGACCGAAACAGUUCUGACGUGCAAAUCGANNNNNNNGAUAGAAUAAUGUAGGUAAGGGAAGUCCGCAAAUUAGAUCCGUAACUUCGGGAUAAGGAUUGGCUCUGAAGAUUGAGAUAGUCGGGCUUGAUUGGGAAGCAAUAACAUGGUUUACGUACUCGUUCUGGGUAAAUAGAGAUUUUCGGAUCUUGUUCCCCGGAUAGUAGCUAUGUAGCCAAUUGUGGAACUUUCUUGCUAAAAUUUUUAAGGAAUAUAUCGCAAGAUAUAUUCUUUUUCAAUUAUAACGAUUAUCAAUUAACAAUCAAUUCAGAACUGGCACGGACUUGGGGAAUCCGACUGUCUAAUUAAAACAAAGCAUUGUGAUGGCCCUAACGGGUGUUGACACAAUGUGAUUUCUGCCCAGUGCUCUGAAUGUCAAAGUGAAGAAAUUCAAGUAAGCGCGGGUAAACGGCGGGAGUAACUAUGACUCUCUUAAGGUAGCCAAAUGCCUCGUCAUCUAAUUAGUGACGCGCAUGAAUGGAUUAACGAGAUUCCUACUGUCCCUAUCUACUAUCCAGCGAACCACAGCCAANGGAACGGGCUUGGAAUAAUUAGCGGGGAAAGAAGACCCUGUUGAGCUUGACUCUAGUCUGGCAGUGUAAGGAGACAUAAGAGGUGUAGCAUAAGUGGGAGAUAGUCAAUUUCGGUUGUUCUAUCAACAAUGAAAUACCACUACUCUUAUUGUUUCCUUACUUACUUGAUUAAGUGGAACGUGUAUCAUUGCUUAGCCAUUAUACGGAUAUAUUUAUAUAUCUUAUGGUAUUGGGUCUUGAUGCAAGCUUCUUGAUCAAAGUAUCACGAGUUUGUUAUAUAAUUGUAAACAAAUUUAAAUGAAAUGAUGGCAUUUCGGUGUUAUUGUUAAUUUGAAUUUGGUAUAACUCCAAUACUCAGAUAUGAUCCAAUUCAAGGACAUUUCCAGGUAGGGAGUUUGACUGGGGCGGUACAUCUCUCAAAUAAUAACGGAGGUGUCCCAAGGCCAGCUCAGUGCGGACAGAAACCACACAUAGAGCAAAA